rnacentral:misc_RNA from 1 species
UAGCUGCGUUAAAUAGCGCGAAUUGCAGACACAUUGAGCGCUAAAAUUUCGAACGCACAUUGCGCCAUCGGGUUCGUUCCCGUUGGCAUGCCUGUCUGAGGGUCAGAUACCCCAUGUUACCGAUAUUCGCUCGGCCGACUAGGCUGUUUGCGCGACGGUCGUCUUGUCGCGCAAAGUCCCUAGUACGUACGGUGGAGCCGGUUAAUCGGAGCGCUACUACGGCGUAUAGUACCGCUCUCAGAUGAGACACAGUUCUUCGGAACUCGCGUAUCGCACGCGACGCUUCGACGUAAAAGACGUAAAUCGUAUUCGUGCCGCUGUCUAGCUCGAAUCGCGACCACAAGUCCUAGUCGAAAGCGUACUUCAUCAAUUGACCUCAGAUCAGACAUGACUACCCGCU